UACGUAGGGGGCAAGCGUUGUCCGGAUUUAUUGGGCGUAAAGAGCGUGUAGGCGGCUUGGCAGGUCUCGCGUCAAAACCUGAGGCUCAACCUCAGUUCGCGUGGGAAACCACCUAGCUAGAGUCCGGAAGAGGAGAACGGAAUUCCCAGUGUAGCGGUGAAAUGCGCAGAUAUUGGGAAGAACACCAGUGGCGAAGGCGGUUCUCUGGGACGGUACUGACGCUGAGACGCGAAAGCGUGGGGAGCGAACAGG
rnacentral:rRNA from 1 species